rnacentral:rRNA from 1 species
AUACGUAGGGGGCGAGCGUUGUCCGGAAUGAUUGGGCGCAAAGGGCGCGUAGGCGGCCGCUUAAGUCUGGAGUGAAAGUCCUGUUUUCAAGAUGGGAAUUGCUUUGGAUACUGGGGGGCUUGAGUGCAGGAGAGGUUAUCGGAAUUCCCGGUGUAGCGGUGAAAUGCGUAGAGAUCGGGAGGAACACCAGUGGCGAAGGCGGGUAACUGGACUGCAACUGACGCUGAGGCGCGAAAGUGUGGGGAGCAAACAGGAUUAGAUACCCUGGUAGUCCACACUGUAAACGAUGAAUGCUAGGUGUAAGAGGUAUCGACCCCUUUUGUGCCGGAGUCAACACAAUAAGCAUUCCGCCUGGGGAGUACGGCCGCAAGGUUGAAACUCAAAUGAAUUGACGGGG